UACGAAGGGGGCUAGCGUUGCUCGGAAUCACUGGGCGUAAAGCGCACGUAGGCGGAUCUUUAAGUCAGGGGUGAAAUCCCGGAGCUCAACUCCGGAACUGCCUUUGAUACUGGAGAUCUUGAGUCCGGGAGAGGUGAGUGGAACUGCGAGUGUAGAGGUGAAAUUCGUAGAUAUUCGCAAGAACACCAGUGGCGAAGGCGGCUCACUGGCCCGGUACUGACGCUGAGGUGCGAAAGCGUGGGAGCAACAGGAU
rnacentral:rRNA from 1 species